rnacentral:rRNA from 1 species
GAUGAACGCUAGCGACAGGCUUAACACAUGCAAGUCGAGGGGCAGCGGGGGUAGCGAUACCCGCCGGCGACCGGCGCACGGGUGAGUAACGCGUAUGCAACUUGCCUAUCAGAGGGGGAUAACCCGGCGAAAGUCGGACUAAUACCGCAUGAAGCAGGGGCCCCGCAUGGGGAUAUUUGCUAAAGAUUCAUCGCUGAUAGAUAGGCAUGCGUUCCAUUAGGCAGUUGGCGGGGUAACGGCCCACCAAACCGACGAUGGAUAGGGGUUCUGAGAGGAAGGUCCCCCACAUUGGUACUGAGACACGGACCAAACUCCUACGGGAGGCAGCAGUGAGGAAUAUUGGUCAAUGGCCGAGAGGCUGAACCAGCCAAGUCGCGUGAGGGAUGAAGGUUCUAUGGAUCGUAAACCUCUUUUAUAAGGGAAUAAAGUGCGGGACGUGUCCCGUUUUGUAUGUACCUUAUGAAUAAGGAUCGGCUAACUCCGUGCCAGCAGCCGCGGUAAUACGGAGGAUCCGAGCGUUAUCCGGAUUUAUUGGGUUUAAAGGGUGCGUAGGCGGCCUUUUAAGUCAGCGGUGAAAGUCUGUGGCUCAACCAUAGAAUUGCCGUUGAAACUGGGGGGCUUGAGUAUGUUUGAGGCAGGCGGAAUGCGUGGUGUAGCGGUGAAAUGCAUAGAUAUCACGCAGAACCCCGAUUGCGAAGGCAGCCUGCCAAGCCAUUACUGACGCUGAUGCACGAAAGCGUGGGGAUCAAACAGGGAUUAGAUACCCUGGUAGUCCACGCAGUAAACGAUGAUCACUAGCUGUUUGCGAUACACUGUAAGCGGCACAGCGAAAGCGUUAAGUGAUCCACCUGGGGAGUACGCCGGCAACGGUGAAACUCAAAGGAAUUGACGGGGGCCCGCACAAGCGGAGGAACAUGUGGUUUAAUUCGAUGAUACGCGAGGAACCUUACCCGGGUUUGAACGCAUUCGGACCGAGGUGGAAACACCUUUUCUAGCAAUAGCCGUUUGCGAGGUGCUGCAUGGUUGUCGUCAGCUCGUGCCGUGAGGUGUCGGCUUAAGUGCCAUAACGAGCGCAACCCUUGCCACUAGUUACUAACAGGUAAAGCUGAGGACUCUGGUGGGACUGCCAGCGUAAGCUGCGAGGAAGGCGGGGAUGACGUCAAAUCAGCACGGCCCUUACAUCCGGGGCGACACACGUGUUACAAUGGCGUGGACAAAGGGAGGCCACCUGGCGACAGGGAGCGAAUCCCCAAACCACGUCUCAGUUCGGAUCGGAGUCUGCAACCCGACUCCGUGAAGCUGGAUUCGCUAGUAAUCGCGCAUCAGCCAUGGCGCGGUGAAUACGUUCCCGGGCCUUGUACACACCGCCCGUCAAGCCAUGGGAGCCGGGGGUACCUGAAGUCCGUAACCGAAAGGAUCGGCCUAGGGUAAAACUGGUGAC